rnacentral:piRNA from 1 species
AGGAUCUGUGUAGAUUGUCAAGUUAGAG